GGCGAGAUGGCCGAGCGGUCUAAGGCGCUACGUUAAGGAUUUUCCUUAAUACCAUCAUGGUUCUUCAUGAUUCCGUAGUCCGAAAGGGCGUGGGUUCGAAUCCCACUCUCGUCA